CACGGGGGGGGCAAACGUUGUUCGGAAUUACUGGGCGUAAAGCGCGUGUAGGCGGCUAUGUAAGUCGGGCGUGAAAUCCCAUGGCUCAACCAUGGAAGUGCACCCGAAACUGCGUAGCUAGAGUCCUGGAGAGGAAGGUGGAAUGCUUGGUGUAGAGGUGAAAUUCGUAGAUAUCAAGCGGAACACCGGUGGCGAAGGCGACUUACUGGACAACUGUUGACGCUGAGGUGCGAAAGCGUGGGGAGCAAACAGG
rnacentral:rRNA from 1 species